CCUACGGGAGGCAGCAGUGAGGAAUAUUGGUCAAUGGGAGAGAUCCUGAACCAGCCAAGCCGCGUGAGGGAAGACGGCCCUAUGGGUUGUAAACCUCUUUUGUCGGAGAACAAAACCCGGGACGUGUCCCGGACUGCGUGUAUCCGACGAACAAGCAUCGGCUAACUCCGUGCCAGCAGCCGCGGUAAUACGGAGGAUGCGAGCGUUAUCCGGAUUUAUUGGGUUUAAAGGGUGCGUAGGCGGUCCGUUAAGUCAGCGGUAAAAUUGCGGGGCUCAACCCCGGCGAGCCGUUGAAACUGGCAGACUGGAGUUGGCGAGAGGUACGCGGAAUGCGCGGUGUAGCGGUGAAAUGCAUAGAUAUCGCGCAGAACUCCGAUUGCGAAGGCAGCGUACCGGAGCCAGACUGACGCUGAGGCACGAAAGCGUGGGGAUCGAACAGGAUUAGAUACCCUUGUAGUC
rnacentral:rRNA from 1 species